rnacentral:lncRNA from 1 species
CCACUUAUUGUAAAAUGCUCUCUCUUUGGAAGCACAGUAUAAGACACUGGUAAUUGGCCGGAUCAUAUGUAGAAAUUUGCCGAUAGCUCCAAGUUUUGCAAUCGUUCAAGAAAAUCAUAAAUGCAAAUCAAACAAAUGGAGGUUCGAAUUGGCAUAUCAUCCUAGCAACUCAGCACAACAGAUCAGAAGUUCAGAACAGAUCAGAUGUACUGACCAAUAUUUGUAGUGUGCCACUACUACCGGUCGGCCAAUGAUCUAGCAGCAGCCCAGGUUACGCACGAUUCAUCUAGCAGCCAAGGUUAUCUCACCAAAAGGAGAUGAGAUCGGGAGUGCAGGAUGCCUGAAAUCCGAGAAACAGAUGCAUGAAUUUGGCAACCGUCGUUGUCGAUCUGGUUGCAGCGCCACGGAUUCGCUAGCGCCGCCAUGGAUUCACACCUCACCACGCUACUUCACGCUGCUAUUGUCCAAUGAUGAAGAAGCCCACCAUCAUACGACAGCAGUGUACCACUGCGAUGCGGGUGCCGCCAAGAACGCCGCCGCCACCACUGGAGCCAUCCGUGCCACCGCUAUCCUUUUGCCAGGUAGCACUCGGCGCCACCGCUUCGCCAGAUAGCCUGCGCUCUUCUGCGUCACCGCCGCCGCCGCCGAGACGAACGAGAGCUGAGCGAAUGGAGGUGCCCCGAUAUUUAUAUCUGUUUUAUUUUCC